CCUGACCCUGCAGCUCUGGGAGAGGAGGCCCAGACCUGGCAUUUUCAGGUGUUUUCAUUUGGUGAUCAGGACUGAACACACAGGACUCACCAUGGAGCCAUGGCUGAGCUGGGUUUUUCUUGUUGCUAUUUUAAAAGGUGUCCAGUGUGAGGUGCAGCUGGUGGAGUCUGGGGGAGGCUUGGUCCAGCCUGGCGGGUCCCUGAGGCUCUCCUGUGCAACCUCUGGAUUCACUUUCAGUAACUACUGGAUGUUCUGGGUCCGCCAGGCUCCAGGGAAGGGGCUGGAGUGGGUCUCAAGUAUUAGUGGUAGCAGUAGUAGCACACACUACCCAGACUCUGUCAAGGGCCGAUUCACCAUCUCCAGAGACAAUGCCAAGAACACAGUGUAUCUGCAAAUGAACAGCCCGAGAGCCGAGGACACGGCUAUGUAUUACUGUGCGAGAGACACAGUGAGGGGAAGUCAGUGUGAGCCCAGACACAAACCUCCCUGCAGAAACGUUCAGGCGAAAUCAGUGGCAGGGGCUGCUCAGGACGCACUGAUCAGAGUCAACCCAGAGGCCGGUGCUAUAGAGGCUGAUUUCCUGUCAGGAUUGCCCUCUUGGGCUUGUGAAGCCUUCACAGACCCUCUCCCUCAUCUGUGCCGUCUCUGCAUUCUCCAUCACAACCAGUGCUCCCUGCUGGAUCUGGAUCCAUCAGCCCGCAGGGAAGAAACCGGACUGGAUCAGGUGCACAGCUCAUGA